AUCCAACUGACGAGUCCCAAAUAGGACGAAACGCGCGUCGAACUGGAU
rfam:Schistosoma haematobium scaffold1059_18, whole genome shotgun sequence.